rnacentral:rRNA from 1 species
AGCGAACGCUGGCGGCAGGCCUAACACAUGCAAGUCGAACGAACCUUUCGGGGUUAGUGGCGGACGGGUGAGUAACACGUGGGAACGUGCCUUUAGGUUCGGAAUAACUCAGGGAAACUUGUGCUAAUACCGAAUGUGCCCUUCGGGGGAAAGAUUUAUCGCCUUUAGAGCGGCCCGCGUCUGAUUAGCUAGUUGGUUGAGGUAAUGGCUCACCAAGGCGACGAUCAGUAGCUGGUCUGAGAGGAUGAUCAGCCACAUUGGGACUGAGACACGGCCCAAACUCCUACGGGAGGCAGCAGUGGGGAAUCUUGCGCAAUGGGCGAAAGCCUGACGCAGCCAUGCCGCGUGAAUGAUGAAGGUCUUAGGAUUGUAAAAUGCUUUCACCGGGGACGAUAAUGACGGUACCCGGAGAAGAAGCCCCGGCUAACUUCGUG